CUCAAAUAAACCUAAGAAGAAGACAGCAGCCACACAGGCAAACCUCAGCUGGUGGGGCAACUGACACGGAGCAGGGCGGAGCACAGCCUCCAGGCCAGGUUCUGGGGACUGACCUCGGCUUGUCGGUCUUGAGCAGCAAGUAUGUUUACCACUGAGAUACCUCACGGGAUCAUAUUUGAGAUAAAAUAUCACACCCCGUUGCUGUUGGAAUGGAUGAGAAAUUUGCCACAGGCAAGCCUGGAACAGACACCAAACAUACAGGACUACAAAUGGAGUCAGGGACAAGACUGAGCAAACACAUCAGAGGAAGGAGGAUUGCUUCCAGCUGCUGAGACCAGGCAGGCCUCCGGGACACUCACUGUCUUCUGCCACUCACCCCCAUCGAGGAGGAGUGACCUCCGGAGACUUCAAAGGACUCUGGAACUAAGCCGAUAACAGAGCAACUGGAGAGCCCCUCCCUGGCUAUGCUCCUUGGAGCACUUUAGCAUUUACUGUAUGUAGGAAUUAGGAUCUCUGUCGUGCCCCCUUCCUGAGGUGUGUGUGUGUGUGUGUGUGCACUCGCGGAGGUACACAAGUACUAUUCUGCAUAUAUGGAGAUCGCAGGACAACACGGUAUCGAAAUUGGCUUUCCGGCGUGUCUCUCUCAUUUGUUCUUCUCUGCUAGGUACCCAAGGCUAGCCAGCCUGCAAAAGCCGGCCGUUCUUCCCUCUUUGCCUCUGUCCAAGCAGGUGGUGCACAGAUUACAGCAACUGGUGCUACUGUGUCCAGCCUUUACCUAGGUUCAGGGCAUCUUAAAAUCAGGCUGUAAAGCCCGGCCCUGUAUUAUUUAUGGUUGAAGACAGUUCCGUUGUGUCUAUGCCUCCCACUCUCACUGUCUGGUUGAUGGCCUCUGCAGCAGCAAGCAUGGGUGCUCUGGUGUCUCUGUGCCGUGCUCAGCUCCCCUGGGUGCUCUCCCAGCAGCCAGGGGUGGCAGAGUUGGAUCGUAGGUGGUUCUGCUUUCAGCGUUAUAAGGAAACCACACUGAUUUCCAGAGUGGUAAACUCUGGUUGCAGUUUUUACCAUUUCACACUCUUACCAGCAGUGUCUAAGGGUUACUCUUUUCCUACAUUCAGACAGAAAUGUGUUAUUAUUUUCUUGAUUAAAGCAUUUGAAAUCUAGGGGAGGGGUGCUGGAGAGAUGGCUCAGAUGGCUCAGAAGUUAAGAGCGCUGACUGCUCUUUCAGAGGUCUCAAGUUCAAUUCCCAGCAACCACAUGGUGGCCCACAACCAUCUGUAAAGGGAUCUGAUUCCCUUUUCUGACUUGCAGGUAUAUAUGCAGAUA